rnacentral:lncRNA from 1 species
AACCUUUAAAAUAUGUAUUUAUUUACAAGCAUUUACAUGCUUGUGAUCGAUUUAUAGGCACAUGCUGUUGAUUGAGUCACAUGCAUACGCUAUCCAAAUUGAGCUACGAACCCUAAAUUCUUAUUUGAUUGGCCUGACAACUCUAGACCCAAACCAUGCUACAUCUGUGGGACAUCCCCAACAAAUGACACCAACUGCGGUGUCCAAGGAUGGAGUAAAGACUGUGGGAUAAACUUGUAUCUUCUGGAAGUAAGCUGAGGCAGUCAGGCAGACUACUGGUAGACCAGAGCUGUAGUCAAGCUGGCUUCAGACAGGAGGCUUCACAAAUAACCCCUGGGCCUUUGCACUCCUAACUCUGGCCUGUGUCUGAGGCUUAACAAAGUAAGAAAGGUUUGGGUUCAUUCUGAGGGGGGGGGGGAAGCCUUUUGGACAGUUUGGGUAUGUGUAGAAUGCAAAGCCUUCCUUUUUACCCUUGAAUCUGAACUCUCUCCUUCAAAGAGGGAGCUUGUGACCAGCUGUUGGCAAAGUGCUGGUCAGGGACCACCCACACCAGGAGAGCCUUCUGAACCCUUUCUGCCCAAGUGCCCCUUGGAGGAGGAAGUCUGCUUCUAUCCCCAAGACUUGUCCUCUGAGGGCUUGAAUUCACUCAGGGGCUCCGCUGGCUCCUCCUGGGCCUCAGCGGGAGGCUUCUCCGAGACAGUGGCCGGCGCCACCACAGCCGCCACCGCCGGAGCCUCGGGCUUCACCUGGAGUGUGCUGGGCGGUUCCCCGGCAUCGCUGCGCAUCUUGACACAGCGCAAGUCUAUGGGCUCAUCCAGGUCUGAGUCCAAAAGGAUGACCUCCGGCUGCGGCAGAGAGGCUGCGGUGGGGGAUACGUUGGCAGGGUGCUCGGAGACCGGGCUGCCCCCGAGGCAGGUCGGCGUGCUGAUGCUGCGGGCAGUCAACCGCUUCUUACAGGGCUCACGCUCGCCAUGGGUCUCAGAGAGGCAGCGCUUGCGCGCAUGGGAGAGGUUCAGGCCCACCGUAUGGUGGUGGUGGUGAUGGUGGUGGUGAUGGUGGUGAUGGGCGGGCGUGUGUGUGCUCCUGGCUGGGUCCCAGGCCAGUAGGUCUGGCUUGGUGGUGAGCUGUAGCGGCUGCUCACCAAAGGCCUCCUUGGUCGGGGAGAGCUUUCGAGACCCUAGGUCCUGGGGCUGAGCGUCCCCCGACACCAGAGCCUCCUCCUCCCUGCGUUUGCAGGGCACUUCAGCUUUCUUCUCCUCAGAAGCACCGGCUGCCUUUUUAAAAGUCCUGUCGCCCUGGGGAUGGCGCUCCUCGGCAGCACGUUUCUUGUGGCUGGGGGAGCGCGCUUCGCCCUCUGCAGCCUCGCCCGACUUGAUUUUCACUGCCUGCAUGCCGUUCUCCAUGUACUUGCUCAUAACGAUCACGAUGCGCCCAUUCUUGUUCUUGUUUUUGACGAUUUUCAUUUUGCCCCCAAUGCCGUUACCGGUCACUGCCUCCUUAGGGGCUGGUGUCAUGCCAUUGGGGGGGC